rnacentral:rRNA from 1 species
CCUACGGGAGGCAGCAGUGAGGAAUAUUGGGCAAUGGGCGCGAGCCUGACCCAGCAACGCCGCGUGAAGGAAGAAGGCCCUACGGUUGUAAACUUCUUUUAUUCGGGACGAAACAAAUGACGGUACCGCAUGAAUAAGCCACGUCUAACUACGUGCCAGCAGCCGCGGUAAUACGGAGGUGGCAAGCAUUAUCCGGAUUUACUGGGUGUAAGGGGCGUGUAGGCGGGAGAGCAAGUCAGACGUGAAAUUCCAGGGCUCAACCCUGGAACUGCGUUUGAAACUGUUCUUCUUGAGUGAUGGAGAGGUAGGCGGAAUGCGGGGUGUAGCGGUGAAAUGCGUAGAUAUACGGAGGAACACCAGUGGCGAAGGCAGCCUGCUGGACAUUAACUGACGCUGAGGCGCGAAAGCGUGGGGAGCAAACAGGAUUAGAUACCCUAGUAGUC